rnacentral:lncRNA from 1 species
GACACGUUGUGCCAAGUAAACAAUAUGUUUUCACUGAUAUAUUAGCACAUUAACACUUUUUAGGGUAAUCCAGAAAUAGAAACUUAUACCACUUCCUGUUUGUAACACGUGUCGCUAACCACAGGUCAUCAGUAAUGCGCUGAAUGAGGGAACAGUUUUAAAGUAAACAUUUAUUAUAUAAUUUAGUAGAAUGUAAUCAAUUAUUUUGAAACAUAGAUUAAAGUAACACAUUUGCAAAGUUUGAAGUGUUUAGGAUGGUUCAACUAUGUCUCUUUGAAAAGUUGUAUGCACAGUAUACCGGUGAAACAGGGCCCAGAUAGCUUCAACUGAUUUGUGACAUAUUGAAAGAUUUGUAUAAUUUCAGAACUUACUUGGAUUUAAAUAAAUUGCGAUAAGGUGCAUAAACAACUGUAAUGGUCAGAAAUUUUAGUGGGACUGCUACUAUUCUAUUUGUAUUCUUACUACUAUCUACUAAUGGACAAAUUAGUUCACAAAAUAAAGAAGGUGGAAGGAAACAGCCACGUAAGCAGUUUAUAUUAUUUUUUUUUAUUUUUUACAGAAUAUGUGUUACUAUUAAAAUGCCCCGUGAGGGAAUGAUAGUACGUGGUGCGUUUUCAAUCAAAUCUAUCUACUUAGUUUAUGGAUUUAUUAUUAGGGCAUACUCAUAUUGUAACACAUAUUCCGUAAAAAAUAAGCCUAUUUCUCUGAUAUUGGAUAUUGUUUUUGCGAGAAUUUUUACGAGAAGUUUUUAGACAUUUGCGUUAUGAUUAAAGAUAAAAAAAAAAAAAAUUAAAAAAAGAAGAUCUGGUAUGAAUUCCAAUGAGACAACUGUCCACAACAGACCAAAAUGAUUAAAGAGUAUUUCUUUUUUUAUUUAUCUGCUUACAAAGUAGAUGUGAUCAAACUUGUUCCUAAUUUAGUUUCCAACUUUUAAUACAUUCAUAGACGUACAAUGUAUAUGUAGCAACGCUUGCUAAUCAUUUUUCAAGAAGCGAAGGCACUAUAUGAAGUACUAUUUUUUUUUAAUGUACAGAUUUGGGCAACUUUAGAAUACAUUAUCCACAAAACAAAGCUUGAUCAGUAUUCAAUUUAAUGCUCAUAAAAAAGGUUCCCUGACAAAAGUUCAAGUGCCACAAAACGUUAAAAGAAAUCUGUAAUUCGCAUCAUUUCUAUCAGAUCUUCUGGUGAUGGUUAAGACAGCUUCUAAACCGUGUUGAAUGAACCCUGUUGUGAAUUUACUAAGUUUUUGAUCAAAGUUCUUUUCGAAUACAAAACAGUAUUUCAUUUCAAAUGGAUGUACAAAUGUGGUGCCCACUUUUUUUAUAUAUAAAAAAAUUGUAUUAAAAUAUUUUAAAAGGAUGAUUUGACAACAAAAUAUUUGUGUAGUAAUCGAGUUUUUUUACAUUCAAUUACUAAAUAAGAACCCUUUUAAUCCUCAUUGAUGUGUUUCCUAUCUAAUCAAAAUUUGCACUCACAAAGGAAAACAGAACACCGAAUAGAUCCAUCUUGACUAGUGACCAAGUUUUUCUAUUUUCUUUCAAUAUUGUUCAAUUUUCGUACCAACUGAUUACAACUCAAAUGGUUAUUUUGGGUCUCAAUUUGAUAUAAUUCAUUGUUAAUACAUGAGCAGAAGAUGUUCAUUCUGUUACCUAUUCUAGCAUCGACUCAGACUGCUUUUAAAAUGCGCUUUACUAUGCGUUAUGAUGUAUGUUUGGUUUUUUUUUCCAUUGGCUAGAGCUAUAGAAAAGGGUUGAUAUCCUAUAAAACCAUGCGGUAUUUUGCACCUGUCUCGAGUCUUGAACCUCUAGACUUUAUCAUAAGUCUUGUGUUGUCUUUUCUACUUGUUUAAUUUUGGUUCAUUUGUAUGUUUCUGCGUCUAUUUCGCUGAACUAGUAUAAACACUUUUUAUGGCAUCAAUAAAGGUCGCCUACAGGUGCGGGGUUAUCUCAAUGCUUCAAGACCCACUGGUGGCCUAAGGCUGUUUUCAACACUCUGGUCGGGUUGUUGUCUCUUUUACACAUUGGUCGAAGUCCCGUGAUGCAAAUAAUAUGAAUAAAUAGCUUAGGAUUUGUCAUAUAUAUGAACUUAGGCUACAUUUAUGUCUAUCUUUGUUUGUUUAAAACGCGAAGUUGACUCCUCGAUGCAUUUGUUUAUUUUGUAUUUGGUUGUUGUGUCGAAUUGACGAUUGACGAAUACUUCACACUCACUUUUAUUUAUAUUCAACCCUUUAAAGUGUCGUGCAUGUGUAAAGUCUUGACCGUUUGUUUUUCGUUGUUUCUCUCUGUUUUUUCUUAAAAUAGUCGGUGGUUUUUGUUUUCCGCUGUUAGGCUGUAUUCUCAUACUAGUAUUUUGUUGUAAUUCUUGUUUUCCUUGUAAUGUAUUAUACAACAUUAAAAAUAUGAAAGCAACGCGUCAAAUAAUGGUAUGCGUCCGAAGAGCUUUUCUGGAUUUACCUUCAUCAGGAACGCUCACAUCCUAAUAUUUGAAAGCCGAGAAUUUAUACGAACGAUGCAGCUGUAGAAUAAAAAAAAUAAUAGCAAAAUUCAUCUUAGGUCAAUAUUGCCUGAAGGAGUUGAAACCUUUGUUUCUUUUAAAAUUACAAAAUGUAUACACGGACAAUUUUAUAAAGGUUUGUUAUAAAUCAUGUAAGUACUUUGGCACUGACAUGAUUCAAAGUACUGAUCACUGAGCUGAUGUUACCCUCGGGAACCACUAGUCCACCAAGAGAGGUAUCAAACUAGACUAAGUGCUGGAAAAAUGAAAACAACACAUUAACUUAUUGUUUGCGUCUGAAUUAUACUUUACGUUUCUGGUUACAUUUGUGAGUUUUUUUUUUCUUUUCAGCUAAACUGGUGUGCCGAUUUUGCCAACAGAAAUGUUACUGUAAAUGUGUUUGCAGCUACUGCAUGACUAAGGUGUGUACCGAACCAUCUAACCCAAAGCAAUGUGACUGCAACACAAUAAAAGGGCCAUGGGAUUCUGAAAGCAUGAAUGGGAUUGUUCUAUCGGAAAAAUAACCGAUCCUGCUACAGCUAUAGAAGGGAAGAUUAUAAGUUCUAUAUUACUUAACGUAUUCUGUAGCAGAACUAUUUCAUAACUUUUUGAAUAUAUUUUAUUUGAAAAUUUCUAAUUUAUGAUUUUG